GCGCCCGUAGCUCAGUUGGAUAGAGCGACGGACUUCGAAUCCGUAGGCCGCACGUUCGAGUCGUGUCGGGCGCA
rnacentral:tRNA from 1 species